GAUGAACGCUGGCGGCGUGCCUAAUACAUGCAAGUCGAGCGAAUGGAUUAAGAGCUUGCUCUUAUGAAGUUAGCGGCGGACGGGUGAGUAACACGUGGGUAACCUGCCCAUAAGACUGGGAUAACUCCGGGAAACCGGGGCUAAUACCGGAUAACAUUUUGAACCGCAUGGUUCGAAAUUGAAAGGCGGCUUCGGCUGUCACUUAUGGAUGGACCCGCGUCGCAUUAGCUAGUUGGUGAGGUAGCGGCUCACCAAGGCAACGAUGCGUAGCCGACCUGAGAGGGUGAUAGGCCACACUGGGACUGAGACACGGCCCAGACUCAUACGGGAGGCAGCAGUAGGGAAUCUUCCGCAAUGGACGAAAGUCUGACGGAGCAACGCCGCGUGAGGGAUGAAGGCUUUCGGGUCGUAAAACUCUGUUGUUAGGGAAGAACAAGUGCUAGUUGAAUAAGCUGGCACCUUGACGGUACCUAACCAGAAAGCCACGGCUAACUACGUGCCAGCCGCCGCGGUAA
rnacentral:rRNA from 1 species